rnacentral:misc_RNA from 1 species
CCGCCCGACAUCCGCCGCGAGGUCAUCGGGCGAGCACGUGCAUGCGGCAACAAGCCCGCGGCAGCCCACUAUUUUUCAGUCUCGAUCCAGGCUGGAGGAACCCGUUUCGUUUCGCUGCAUUUCGAAGACUUCGCAUGCAUGAAUCGGGCGGCCGUGUGUGACGACGGUCUGUGUCUGCACCGACUGUACCUAAAUUCGCACGGUCGUCAGCGUCUGGUCNNNNNNNNNNCGACCUGAGGAUGUUCAACGACGGCAAUACCGUCGGGUUCGAGGUGAUGGGCGGUCCGUCG